AAUCAACGCUGGCGGCGUGCCUCAGACAUGCAAGUCGAACGAUUAAAGCUCUCUUCGGAGAGUGUAUAGAGUGGCGCACGGGUGAGUAACACGUAAGUAAUCUACCCUCGAGUGGGGAAUAACAACCGGAAACGGUUGCUAAUACCGCAUAAUGCAGCGGCACCGCAAGGUGACAGUUGUUAAAGAUUUAUCGCUUGAGGAGGAGCUUGCGGCAGAUUAGCUAGUUGGUAGGGUAACGGCUUACCAAGGCUACGAUCUGUAACCGGUCUAAGAGGACGGUCGGUCACACUGACACUGAAUAACGGGUCAGACUCCUACGGGAGGCAGCAGUCGGGAAUUUUGGGCAAUGGGCGAAAGCCUGACCCAGCAACGCCGCGUGAAGGAUGAAGUAUUUCGGUAUGUAAACUUCGAAAGAAUAGGAAGAAUUAAUGACGGUACUAUUUAUAAGGUCCGGCUAACUACGUGCCAGCAGCCGCGGUAAGGAGCUGUCGU
rnacentral:rRNA from 1 species